rnacentral:rRNA from 1 species
UACGUAGGGUGCGAGCGUUAAUCGGAAUUACUGGGCGUAAAGGGCGCGUAGGCGGCCAUCUAAGUCAGACGUGAAAUCCCCCGGCUUAACCUGGGAACUGCGUCUGAUACUGGACGGCUCGAGUUUGGGAGAGGGAUGUGGAAUUCCAGGUGUAGCGGUGAAAUGCGUAGAUAUCUGGAGGAACACCGGUGGCGAAGGCGGCAUCCUGGACCAACACUGACGCUGAGGCGCGAAAGCUAGGGGAGCAAACGGG